GCUGUCUCUUCCACUCCUCCUCUUUAUGAGGCAGCCUGCUCUCUCGCUCACAAGGGGGAGAUGGGAGUUGGGAAAAAGACUGCUUUUCGCUAGUUACAUUCUGCCUGCAAGGGCCUCCCCUUCAGAGUAGAACUUUUUCUACUGCAGCAAAUAGGAAAAAUGGGGUUUUUUUUUUUUUUUUUGCUUUUAUUUAACCCCCUGUUUUUUUUUAUUUCCCGUGGAUUGUUUUUGUUUUUUUUAGGGGGGGGUUUAACCAUUGAAAUUCUGCUUCUUCAUUUUCUCCCCUGAGCUGCAAGGGAUUUUUAGAGAAAUCGAUUCGGUGCUUCUCUCCCAAUGGCUUAUUCGCGUUUAUACGGUUUUUUGAAUGUGACGCAUUUGUCCGCCAUUUUUUUUUUCCCAACAGUCGCGCGCGAAUGGGGUCGAUCGUUUUUAUUUCCUUUUAAAAAAGCCGGUCUCUACAAUUUAAUAUCGGGGUGGGGGAUAGUUUUUUUUUGUUUUAUUUUUAACCCCCCCCCCCUUCGCUAUGUAUUUUUGGAAUGGCAGGGAAAUGCGUGUGCGCUGCCUGGGAUAGGUGCCAGCGUGAAAACAAAAGACAUAAAAUAGGCGGCAAACAUGGAAAAUGGCAGCGCGCACUCACGCACGCAAAAAAAAAAAAAAAAACGCAACCGACGAACGACCGCACUGCGUUCCCGGGGUCCGAGCUGUCAAGGUGUCAAGAAAUUGUUUCCCAAUUCCGGGGGGGCCGCAAGGUGAAGGUUCUCCAGUUCCUCCGUCUCUAGGUGCCCAAGGCUUUUGCCCACCUCCUGCAGGGGUCAGAGUGGCUCCUGGGACCCCUGUUGCGCGGCUACACGGACGGAAGGAGUGCAAUUACAGGGCGUAUGUGGAUGUAUAUGACGUUUCCCAGCAUUCCCCUGGCACCACAGAACCCUCGGCACAAUUACUUGGCAAUGUGCGGGAUUGGUGGUCUUUUCUUUUCAUUGGCUGCCUGUGGAGUUUGCACACGCCCCCACUACUGACAUCACAAUGGGAAUUCCCAGUAAACACCGCGGUUACGGAUCGUUGGAACCUGCCCAUUAACAGCUCCAAAGGCACCAACCUCUGAGAUUGAAAUGACUUGUCCUUAUAUGCAUUUGGGAACUAUCCCUUUAAGGGGCGUGGUGAUGCACCCCCAACCCCCACCCGUAAGGAUUUCUGGGUUUUAACUUUGAAGAUUAUGGUACCUCCACUUUCAGAGCCAUGAGAGGAUUUGUGCUAAGGAUCUGUCCUGAACUUCAUUCUCCUCAUCUGGUCCUGUAGUGAACCCCGAAACCCCAGUCUCCUCCGCACAGGAACUACUCCAGCCUUGAGAUUAACCCUUCAGAUCCUACAGCCGCGGGGAUAGAAUGAUGAAACAGAAUCCAGAGAGUCCCCUUGUACGACUCCCUGACGCUGGUGAGAAGAAAAGGAAAUCUGCCCCCAGCUGGGCACGUGGGGUACAGCACUGCAGUAUAUGUGGGUGCUUUAUACAUUUAUAAUAAUAACUGUGUCCUGGUCCCCUGAACCCUCUGUUUGGGUAAAGAGGUAACUAUUUAAAGGGCAAGUAAACCCCACUCUUUCCAGCUAAUUACGAUCGCUUGCUCUUUGGCAGUGAGCUGGUUAAAGGGGAGGGCCCAUAACAUCCUAUUAAUGACGGUUCUUCUAUCCCCAUAGGUUGUCGGCUGAGUCUCUGUCCCACCCUCGGCCAUUGCACCCAGUGAGACCCACAGGGAGGUUACGAGCCAAUCACGCUUUCCCUUUUGCACAACCUGCUUCCUGUUUGGCCCCCCAGCUGAUCCCUUCAUGACUUGUUUUUCCUUUUCCAGGUGUGUUGCAUUGUGGGUAUUUAACACCCCCCGUGGGACAAGGCUUCCUGCCCCCCCAGAUUCCGACUGCCCUUUGGGGUGAGGUAGUAGGUUGUUUAGUUGUGGGUUGCACCCUGACGUUUGGAUAACUAUACAAUCUACUGUCUUUCCUGAAGUGGCUGUAAUGUCAUCGUGGGAGCGGCGCCGGACGACGGAUUAAAGGGCAACAAAACCUUCAAAUCAUAGGAGAGAUGCUUGUGACAUUGGGGAGGGAAUUUUCCUUUGCACAUCUGACUUCCUGCCACCAACCCUAGUGGGUGGAGUUAGGGAUCCUGAGGGCCCCCCGGGGGUUAAAUGGUAACAUUUACUCGCACAGCCGUACAGGGAUUUUCUUUUUAGGUUUAGUUACCCUUUAUAGGUCCCACUGCCCCCUAGUGGCCGCCGCAGCCUUGGCGGGAUGAGGUAGUAGGUUGUGUGGUUUCAGGGCAGUGAUUUUUGCCCCAAUCAGGAGAUAACUAUACAACCUACUGCCUUCCCCGGCAGGCACCAUGUCGUCGAGGCCCAAUCAGAGCUGGGGGGAGGGAAUUAGAACUUGAUCCAGAACCUGAAGGACCCACAGAUGAAUGGGGCGCCCAAUCACUUGCUCUCGUUUCCCCCAAUCGCUGUUCUACCUGAAUCAAUAAAGAUAUGGAAUUUACUAAGCAA